rnacentral:lncRNA from 1 species
CUGCUGGUUGGCCUAUGUUGGUAGUGACAUGGAUGGCCAUCUACGUGUGUACGAUAUGCUCGCUGUCGAUGGUAGAGGCUGGAGAGCCCAGAAGAUUAUCCAUCUUUUUGGUGGUCCAUUCACUGAUUGGAUCCUUGCUACUCCAAUUCUAAUUCAUCCCACCCAAGACUUGAGGAUGUGGGGUCAUUCCUAUUUUUCUAGCAUUUUUUUGAGGGAUCUGUCAGAGAUG